GAUGAACGCUAGCGGCAGGCUUAACACAUGCAAGUCGAGGGGCAGCGCGAUGUAGCAAUACAUUGGCGGCGACCGGCGCACGGGUGCGUAACACGUAUGGAACUUACCCUUUACUGGGAGAUAGCCCGGAGAAAUCCGGAUUAAUAUCCCAUAAUAAACGAAGUGGCAUCACUUUGUUUUGAAAGCUCCGGCGGUAAAGGAUGGCCAUGCGCACGAUUAGCUAGUAGGUGAGGUAACGGCUCACCUAGGCUACGAUCGUUAGGGGGCCUGAGAGGGUUAUCCCCCACACUGGUACUGAGACACGGACCAGACUCCUACGGGAGGCAGCAGUGAGGAAUAUUGCGCAAUGGAGGCAACUCUGACGCAGCCAUGCCGCGUGCAGGAAGAAGGCGCUACGCGUUGUAAACUGCUUUUAACCGGGAAGAAACCCUCCGACGUGUCGGAGGUUGACGGUACCGGAGGAAUAAGCACCGGCUAACUUCGUGCCAGCAGCCGCGG
rnacentral:rRNA from 1 species